GAUGAACGCUAGCUACAGGCUUAACACAUGCAAGUCGAGGGGAAACGGCAUUAAGUGCUUGCACUUUUUGGACGUCGACCGGCGCACGGGUGAGUAACGCGUAUCCAACCUUCCCAUGACUAAGGGAUAACCUGCCGAAAGGCAGACUAAUACCUUAUGGUCUUCACUGACGGCAUCAGAUGUGAAGUAAAGAUUUAUCGGUUAUGGAUGGGGAUGCGUCUGAUUAGUUAGUUGGCGGGGUAACGGCCCACCAAGGCAACGAUCAGUAGGGGUUCUGAGAGGAAGGUCCCCCACAUUGGAACUGAGACACGGUCCAAACUCCUACGGGAGGCAGCAGUGAGGAAUAUUGGUCAAUGGGCGAGAGCCUGAACCAGCCAAGUAGCGUGCAGGAUGACGGCCCUAUGGGUUGUAAACUGCUUUUGUAUGGGGAUAAAGUCAAUCACGUGUGAUUGUUUGCAGGUACCAUACGAAUAAGGACCGGCUAAUUCCGUGCCAGCAGCCGCGGUAAUACGGAAGGUCCGGGCGUUAUCCGGAUUUAUUGGGUUUAAGGGGAGCGUAGGCUGGAGAUUAAGUGUGUUGUGAAAUGUAGACGCUCAACGUCUGACUUGCAGCGCAUACUGGUUUCCUUGAGUACGCACAACGUUGGCGGAAUUCGUCGUGUAGCGGUGAAAUGCUUAGAUAUGACGAAGAACUCCGAUUGCGAAGGCAGCUGACGGGAGCGCAACUGACGCUGAAGCUCGAAGGUGCGGGUAUCGAACAGG
rnacentral:rRNA from 1 species